ACGGAAGGCAGCAGUAGGGGAUAUUGCACAAUGGGGGAAACCCUGAUGCAGCGACGCCGCGUGAGUGAUGAAGUAUUUCGGUAUGUAAAGCUCUAUCAGCAGGGAAGAAAAUGACGGUACCUGACUAAGAAGCACCGGCUAAAUACGUGCCAGCAGCCGCGGUAAUACGUAGGUGGCAAGCGUUGUCCGGAUUUACUGGGUGUAAAGGGCGCGUAGGCGGGAUGACAAGUCAGGUGUGAAAUCUAUGGGCUUAACCCAUAAACUGCACUUGAAACUGCCAUUCUUGAGUGUCGGAGAGGUAGAUGGAAUUCCUAGUGUAGCGGUGAAAUGCGUAGAUAUUAGGAGGAACACCAGUGGCGAAGGCGAUCUACUGGACGAUAACUGACGCUGAGGCGCGAAAGCGUGGGGAGCAAACAGGAUUAGAUACCUUGGUA
rnacentral:rRNA from 1 species